rnacentral:rRNA from 1 species
UACGUAGGGGGCAAGCGUUGUCCGGAAUUAUUGGGCGUAAAGAGCGUGUAGGCGGUCCGGUAAGUCAGCUGUGAAAGUCAAGGGCUCAACCCUUGAAUGCCGGUUGAUACUGUCGGGCUAGAGUCCGGAAGAGGCGAGUGGAAUUCCCGGUGUAGCGGUGAAAUGCGCAGAUAUCGGGAGGAACACCAAUGGCGAAGGCAGCUCGCUGGGACGGUACUGACGCCUGAGACGCGAAAGCGUGGGGAGCAAACAGGG